rnacentral:rRNA from 1 species
GACGAACGCUGGCGGCGUGCUUAACACAUGCAAGUCGAACGGUGACGAGGAGCUUGCUCCUCUGAUCAGUGGCGAACGGGUGAGUAACACGUGAGCAACCUGCCCCAGACUCUGGGAUAACAGUUGGAAACAGCUGCUAAUACCGGAUACGAGACGGAGAGGCAUCUCUACCGUCUGGAAAGUUUUUCGGUCUGGGAUGGACUCGCGGCCUAUCAGCUAGUUGGUGAGGUAAUGGCUCACCAAGGCGACGACGGGUAGCCGGCCUGAGAGGGCGACCGGCCACACUGGGACUGAGACACGGCCCAGACUCCUACGGGAGGCAGCAGUGGGGAAUAUUGCACAAUGGGCGAAAGCCUGAUGCAGCGACGCCGCGUGAGGGAUGAAGGCCUGGUUGUAACUCUUCAGCAGGAAGAAGCGAAAGUGAGGUACCUGCAGAAGAAGCGACCGGCUAACGUACGUGCCAGCAGCGCCGGUAACACGAG